UCAAAACUCGAUCAUAAAUAACAAAUAAAACAAAUAAAAACGAUAUUCAAACAAAAUAAAUCACGAACAAAUAUGGCGCAUUAAUUCAAUACAACCUGAAGCCACAUUCGAAUCGGGUGAAGGAGAAGGAGCCGACUCGGACGAGGACGUGGACGGACGCGCAGGAAGAUAUGUGUCAACAAUUACGCCAAGCUUAAUCGAAUUGUCAACUCACCGGCAACGAACAUGGUUUAAGUGCUGCCCGGACGGAUUCCGCUUCGUAUGCGCAAUGUUAUGAGAUAGAACUCGACAAUUGCCCAAAGGAAUACCAAAAAUUAAACGAAAGGUAGAGAAAGAUCACAGCACGAGAGCGUCGCUCGAUCGAGUUCUAAUGCCUCGUUGCAUUUAUUUUCCGGCCACUGCCACGCCUCCCGUGAGGCUGUGAUCGACAGUUUUCCUCUGUUUGUCACCCUUUCUCCAUAUUUGGUUGUCACACAUGAAUGGGACAUGGCAUGAUUUCAAGAGGCGUGUUCAAAAUAUAAUCAGCUGUGGUAUUGAAAGCGCAGACGAAGCGCAGAAAUUUCGAUUAAGAAAGAAAAAGUGAGUACACUUUUGAAGUAAAGCAAAUCUUGAACUCCAUACAUUGUCAUGGUCGAA